rnacentral:rRNA from 1 species
UACGUAGGGCGCAAGCGUUGUCCGGAAUUAUUGGGCGUAAAGAGCUCGUAGGCGGUUUGUCGCGUCUGCUGUGAAAACCUAAGGCUCAACCUUGGGCUUGCAGUGGGUACGGGCAGACUAGAGUGCGGUAGGGGGUGACUGGAAUUCCUGGGUGUAGCGGUGGAAUGCGCAGAUAUCAGGAGGAACACCGAUGGCGAAGGCAGGUCACUGGGCCGCAACUGACGCUGGAGGGAGCGAAAGCAUGGGGAGCGAACGG